UCAAGGGUACAUGCAGCUGGUCCUACUAAGUGGGUUCCCAAACCCAUAACAGUACAUCCACUCCCCAUAUCAUCUUCGUCUCUGCAUAUUGAAACUUUACAGGAUUAUGAGACCAUAUGGUGCACCACCACCAACCUCAGCACCCUUGUUUGCUGUUUAUACUGCCAAUUUAAUUAUUGGACUAUGUCAGUCAAACGGGUUGUUUAUUUUUAUUACAAACAAAAAUAUACCCUAUAAAAGAUGAUUGCUUAUACAAUUGAUUGC